rnacentral:rRNA from 1 species
GCCGUCAAUUCCUUUAAGUUUUAACCUUGCGGCCGUACUCCCCAGGCGGUCGACUUAUCGCGUUAGCUGCGCCACUAAGAUCUCAAGGAUCCCAACGGCUAGUCGACAUCGUUUACGGCGUGGACUACCAGGGUAUCUAAUCCUGUUUGCUCCCCACGCUUUCGCACCUCAGUGUCAGUAUCAGUCCAGGCGGUCGCCUUCGCCACUGGUGUUCCUUCCUAUAUCUACGCAUUUCACCGCUACACAGGAAAUUCCACCACCCUCUACCGUACUCUAGCUCAGUAGUUUUGGAUGCAGUUCCCAGGUUGAGCCCGGGGAUUUCACAUCCAACUUGCUGAACCACCUACGCGCGCUUUACGCCCAGUAAUUCCGAUUAACGCUUGCACCCUUCGUAUUACCGCGGCUGCUGGCACGAAGUUAGCCGGUGCUUAUUCUGUUGGUAACGUCAAAACAGCAAGGUAUUAACUUACUGCCCUUCCUCCCAACUUAAAGUGCUUUACAAUCCGAAGACCUUCUUCACACACGCGGCAUGGCUGGAUCAGGCUUUCGCCCAUUGUCCAAUAUUCCCCACUGCUGCCUCCCGUAGGAGUCUGGACCGUGUCUCAGUUCCAGUGUGACUGAUCAUCCUCUCAGACCAGUUACGGAUCGUCGCCUUGGUAGGCCUUUACCCCACCAACUAGCUAAUCCGACCUAGGCUCAUCUGAUAGCGUGAGGUCCGAAGAUCCCCCACUUUCUCCCUCAGGACGUAUGCGGUAUUAGCGCCCGUUUCCGGACGUUAUCCCCCACUACCAGGCAGAUUCCUAGGCAUUACUCACCCGUCCGCCGCUGAAUCCAGGAGCAAGCUCCCUUCAUCCGCUCGACUUGCAUGUGUUAGGCCUGCCGCCAGCGUUCAAUCUGAGCCAGGAUCAAACCCUU